GAGCAAAUUUGUCAUAGACAUUUAGCAUCUGUUAUUGAAAACAAGUUUAAUGAAACAGGGCCCUGCUGUACAAUGUGUGCCCUUCUGGCCUUAAGAUAGCAUUGUUUACAAUUAGAAUUCAUCAGAAAUAACUUUUUAUUACCAGUGAAGUGACGUUGUACUAUCGUAGUAACAAAUAUUUGAAUGAUAUUACCAAUGCACAGUCACAUGCAUUAUUGGCAUGUUAUGGUGCAUAUUAUACAAUGAGGGCCUGCGAAUGAAGAGCAAAGUGUCAGAGAGUCUGGAACAUUUUCAGUGGUCACAGUGUGGACAUACUGUGCUCACAUUAUAUACAUGUGAAGAUAUAGUUUUCACAGUGUGUAUAUCACACAUUGUAUUCGCAGUGUGUGUAUAGUGUUCACAGUGUGCAUGUACACACUGUGUUUACAGUGAGUUCAUUGUGUGUAUGUACACACUGUAUACAUUGGGUUCACAGUGUGUAUGUAAAUACUGUGUUCACAUUGAGUUCAUUGUGUGUAUGUACACACUGUCUACACAGUUGGUUCUUAGUAUGUAUGUACACACUGUGUGUACAAUGGGUUCAUGGCGUGUGUACACAAUGUUUUCACAGUGGGUCCACAGUGUGUACAUAUUGCAGUAAAACCAGUAAAAUGAAAAGUGCGAGUGUUAACACACUGCUUACACUGUGGCAUGCUAUGGUCUUCAUGAUAAGACUACUUAUGUAGCACUUGCAUAGAGGGUGUGAAUGAGAAGUGGGAACAUGCCUACACAGUACCAUUUAUAGAUGACAUUCAUUAUUGGUGAUGAUGUGCAAAAGUGGCGUCUCAGAGUUUGAGGUAUCAACGACAUAUUUUGAGAGCCGAGUUGAUAUACCUGCCAUAUGAGAUGAUGAUUAUUCAGUGAUGUUUUAAUGGAUGACUACAUACAAACAUAAUUGUGAAUUUACAUAUUCCUCAAUGUAACUAUUGUCCAAUAAAAUAUAAAAUCAAAA